UCUUGCUUCUAGUUCCUGGUACUCCGGCACCAGCAGGACCAUGGAGAUGAUGAAACAUUAAUAAGAAGACAAACUGCCAGUGUGUGAGUCUGUUUUCUGUUGCUAUAACAGAAUACCCAAGAGUGGGUGUUCUAUAAAGACUAGAAGUUUAUUGGACUCAUGAUUCUGGAGGCUGAAAGUUCAAGGGCCUGGGACUCCCAUCGGGCUGGCACUGGCGAGACUCUGCUUGCUGUAUUGUAACACGGCAAUGGACAUCACACGAAAGAACUUGCUUCCAGAGCUCCUGGGGAUUAAUUCAGAAAGCAGGGACGGAUCCUGUAACACAUAACAGGGAAGGUUCUGCCUGGAAGUGCUGCAACCAGUUAACACCAUUCCGUUGACUCGUGCACCUGCUGUCUGUUGGGAAGAAGAGAAUGUGGAAAAAGGAGAAGAAGAGAGUGCGGACGGUGGUCAUGAAAUGUGACUGGAAGAGGGUCUGUGGUGCUGUACGGAGAAGGAGAUGAUAGACAGUCUGAGGUGGAAGACUUGUAACAGAGAGCCAAACACUUGGUUGACAUGGCUUUGCUACUUUAGAUUGCCCCUCUCCUGCUUCCAUAGAAAUGUGACUCUUAGCUGGACACAUAGCUGUCAGAAAAAUUAAAAAAAAAAAGUUGCACUUCCCAUCCUCCCUGGCAGUUAGGUGUGAACACAGGACUAUUUAUGACCAAUGGGUGGAAGUAAUAUGUGGAACUCCCAGGUUGUUCUCUUGGGAG